AACGAACGCUGGCGGCAUGCCUAACACAUGCAAGUCGAACGAGACCUUCGGGUCUAGUGGCGCACGGGUGCGUAACGCGUGGGAACCUGCCCUUAGGUUCGGAAUAACUCCCCGACAGGGGUGCUAAUACCGGAUAAUGUCUUCGGACCAAAGAUUUAUCGCCUUUGGAUGGGCCCGCGUUGGAUUAGCUGGUUGGUAGGGUAAAAGCCUACCAAGGCGACGAUCCAUAGCUGGUCUGAGAGGAUGAUCAGCCACACUGGGACUGAGACACGGCCCAGACUCCUACGGGAGGCAGCAGUGGGGAAUAUUGGACAAUGGGCGAAAGCCUGAUCCAGCAAUGCCGCGUGAGUGAUGAAGGCCUUAGGGUUGUAAAGCUCUUUUACCCGGGAUGAUAAUGACAGUACCGGGAGAAUAAGCUCCGGCUAACUCCGUG
rnacentral:rRNA from 1 species